rnacentral:rRNA from 1 species
UACGUAGGGCGCAAGCGUUAUCCGGAUUUAUUGGGCGUAAAGAGCUCGUAGGUGGUUGGUCACGUCUGCUGUGGAAACGCAACGCUUAACGUUGCGCGUGCAGUGGGUACGGGCUGACUAGAGUGCAGUAGGGGAGUCUGGAAUUCCUGGUGUAGCGGUGAAAUGCGCAGAUAUCAGGAGGAACACCGGUGGCGAAGGCGGUUCUCUGGGCAUUUCCUGACGCUGAGGAGCGAAAGCAUGGGGAGCGAACAGG